rnacentral:rRNA from 1 species
GGACAACCUGCCCUUAGGUUGGGUAUAAACCCGGGAAACUGGGUAUAAUACCCGAUAGGUCUCGAUUGCUGGAAUGCAUCGAGAUUUAAAGCUCCGGCGCCUAAGGAUGGGUCUGCGGCCUAUCAGGUAGUAGUGGGUGUAGCGUACCUACUAGCCUACGACGGGUACGGGUUGUGAGAGCAAGAGCCCGGAGAUGGAUUCUGAGACACGAAUCCAGGCCCUACGGGGUGCAGCAGGCGCGAAAACUUUACAAUGCUGGCAACAGCGAUAAGGGAACCUCGAGUGCCAGGUUACAAAUCUGGCUGUCGAGAUGCCUAAAAAGCAUUUCAUAGCAAGGGCCGGGCAAGACCGGUGCCAGCCGCCGCGGUAACACCGGCGGCUCGAGUGGUAACCGUUAUUAUUGGGUCUAAAGGGUCUGUAGCCGGCCGGAUAAGUCUCUUGAGAAAUCUGGCAGCUUAACUGUCAGGCUUUCAGGAGAUACUGUCUGGCUCGAGGCCGGGAGAGGUGAGAGGUACUUCAGGGGUAGGGGUGAAAUCUUGUAAUCCUUGAAGGACCACCAGCGGCGAAGGCGUCUCACCAGAACGGACCUGACGGCAAGGGACGAAAGCUAGGGGCACGAACCGGAUUAGAUACCCGGGUAGUCCUAGCCGUAAACGAUACUCGCUAGGUGUCGGCCACGGUGCGACCGUUGUCGGUGCCGUAGGGAAGCCGUGAAGCGAGCCACCUGGGAAGUACGGCCGCAAGGCUGAAACU